rnacentral:lncRNA from 1 species
GGACAGUCAUGGUUCCGUUACAGGUGCUGGCACCAAGAAAAUGCAUACACCCUGUGGGCAGCUCACUUUGAAGAGAGAGAGGAGAAGAAAGGGCUGGGCUGCCCCUAUUGAAGCUCUUCUUCCAAAAGCAGUACUCAGAUGGGUCACUCCAUAAUUCCCAGGGUCCAGUCAGGGAGCGGUGGGGAGAGGCUGGAGUGGCCUACUAAGGGAGAGCCCUGUUAACAGAAUCUCCUACACAAGGAAGAAUCAGUAGGAGAGGGGAAGGAACCUGCGAGGCCCCUGCCAACUCCUCUUCCAUACUUGUUCGUUUGCGCAUUCAACACACUUUUGAGCACCUUCUUUUCCUCUGUGCUCAGUGACAGGAAUUCAAACAUGAAACUAGAUGUGGCCUUGGCUUUCAGAGAAGUCAUUCCCUUAGUAGUGAAUACUAGUUCCCUGAAGUUUAACAUUGGAGGAGAAGGAGUUAUUAAACACCCAUUCUAAGCAAGAACAUCAGUAGCCUACAAAAGGCCUUUUUUCACACUUUGAGUCUGUUGAAGAAAACUCACAGUUGCUAUCACUUGCUUUAAAAGUGCCCCCCACUCUGCCUUGUACAGUCCGGAUUGCUGUGAGGCCAUGACAAGGAACCAAGUUCUGUUUUUCUGUGAAGAGAAUGGAAUAAUCAUUUACCUCUUUCCUGUGGCUGCCAGCUGGUCCCUUCACUUAGUCACUCCCUGUUUCUCCUUCCUCCCUUUCCUCUCCCCUUCCAGUACACAGAAUCCCUUCUCCAUAUCCCCCCAUGAUGAAGGACCACCAGUCGUUAGCUCACCUCUCUUCCAAAGUUCCAAU